CGUUCAGAGGUUACCUCUAUCGUUACCUACGCUACGUAUGUAAUGGGAAUGUAACUGUUAA
rnacentral:sRNA from 12 species